CCUACGGGCGGCUGCAGUGGGGAAUAUUGGACAAUGGGGGCAACCCUGAUCCAGCCAUGCCGCGUGUGUGAAGAAGGCCCUCGGGUUGUAAAGCACUUUCAGUGAGGAAGAACGCCUGGUGGUUAAUACCCAUCAGGAAAGACAUCACUCACAGAAGAAGCACCGGCUAACUCCGUGCCAGCAGCCGCGGUAAUACGGAGGGUGCGAGCGUUAAUCGGAAUUACUGGGCGUAAAGCGCGCGUAGGUGGCUUGAUAAGCCGGUUGUGAAAGCCCCGGGCUCAACCUGGGAACGGCAUCCGGAACUGUCAAGCUAGAGUGCAGGAGAGGAAGGUAGAAUUCCCGGUGUAGCGGUGAAACGCGUAGAGAUCGGGAGGAAUACCAGUGGCGAAGGCGGCCUUCUGGACUGACACUGACACUGAGGUGCGAAAGCGUGGGUAGCAAACAGGAUUAGAUACCCCAGUAGUC
rnacentral:rRNA from 1 species